UACGUAGGUGACAAGCGUUGUCCGGAUUUACUGGGCGUAAAGAGCGCGCAGGCGGUCGUUCAAGUCGAGUGUGAAAGCCCCCGGCUCAACUGGGGAGGGUCAUUCGAUACUGAUCGACUCGAAGGCAGGAGAGGGUAGUGGAAUUCCCGGUGUAGUGGUGAAAUGCGUAGAUAUCGGGAGGAACACCAGUGGCGAAGGCGGCUACCUGGACAAUUGCUGACACUCAGGCACGAAAGCGUGGGGAGCAAAAGGG
rnacentral:rRNA from 1 species